UGGGGAAUAUUGGACAAUGGGCGAAAGCCUGAUCCAGCAAUGCCGCGUGAGUGAAGAAGGCCUUCGGGUUGUAAAGCUCUUUUACCCGGGAAGAUAAUGACUGUACCGGGAGAAUAAGCCCCGGCUAACUCCGUGCCAGCAGCCGCGGUAAUACGGAGGGGGCUAGCGUUGUUCGGAAUUACUGGGCGUAAAGCGCACGUAGGCAGCCAUUCAAGUCAGAGGUGAAAGCCCAGGGCUCAACCUUGGAACUGCCUUUGAAACUAGAUGGCUCGAACACGGGAGAGGUGAGUGGAAUUCCGAGUGUAGAGGUGAAAUUCGUAGAUAUUCGGAAGAACACCAGUGGCGAAGGCAAUCCCCUGGGCCUGUACUGACGCUCAUGCACGAAAGCGUGGGGAGCAAA
rnacentral:rRNA from 1 species